rnacentral:siRNA from 1 species
UUUCGAAUCAGUGGAUACAGAG